rnacentral:rRNA from 1 species
GACGAACGCUGGCGGCGUGCUUAACACAUGCAAGUCGAACGAAGAGCGAUGGAAGCUUGCUUCUAUCAAUCUUAGUGGCGAACGGGUGAGUAACGCGUAAUCAGCCUGCCCUUCAGAGGGGGACAACAGUUGGAAACGACUGCUAAUACCGCAUACGAUCUAAUCUCGGCAUCGAGGAUAGAUGAAAGGUGGCCUCUACAUGUAAGCUAUCACUGAAGGAGGGGAUUGCGUCUGAUUAGCUAGUUGGAGGGGUAACGGCCCACCAAGGCGAUGAUCAGUAGCCGGUCUGAGAGGAUGAACGGCCACAUUGGGACUGAGACACGGCCCAGACUCCUACGGGAGGCAGCAGUGGGGAAUCUUCCGCAAUGGACGAAAGUCUGACGGAGCAACGCCGCGUGAGUGAUGACGGCCUUCGGGUUGUAAAGCUCUGUUAAUCGGGACGAAAGGCCUUCUUGCGAAUA